GACGAACGCUGGCGGCGUGCUUAACACAUGCAAGUCGAACGGAAAGGCCCUGCUUGCAGGGUGCUCGAGUGGCGAACGGGUGAGUAACACGUGGGUGAUCUGCCCCUUACUUUGGGAUAAGCCUGGGAAACUGGGUCUAAUACUGGAUAGGACCAUGCUGUAGGUGGUGUGGUGGAAAGAUUUUUUCGGUAAGGGAUGAGCUCGCGGCCUAUCAGCUUGUUGGUGGGGUAAUGGCCUACCAAGGCGUCGACGGGUAGCCGGCCUGAGAGGGUGGACGGCCACAUUGGGACUGAGAUACGGCCCAGACUCCUACGGGAGGCAGCAGUGGGGAAUAUUGCACAAUGGGCGCAAGCCUGAUGCAGCGACGCCGCGUGGGGGAUGACGGCCUUCGGGUUGUAAACUCCUUUCAGCUAUGACGAAGCCCAGUGGGGUGACGGUAGUGGUAGAAGAAGCACCGGCUAACUACGUGCCAGCAGCCGCGGUAAUACGUAGGGUGCGAGCGUUGUCCGGAAUUACUGGGCGUAAAGAGCUCGUAGGUGGUCUGUCGCGUCAUUUGUGAAAGCCCGGGGCUUAACUCCGGGUUGGCAGGUGAUACGGGCAUGACUGGAGUACUGUAGGGGAGACUGGAAUUCCUGGUGUAGCGGUGAAAUGCGCAGAUAUCAGGAGGAACACCGGUGGCGAAGGCGGGUCUCUGGGCAGUAACUGACGCUGAGGAGCGAAAGCAUGGGUAGCGAACAGGAAUAGAUACCCUGGUAGUCCAUGCCGUAAACGGUGGGCGCUAGGUGUGGGUUUCCUUCCACGGGAUCCGUGCCGUAGCUAACGCAUUAAGCGCCCCGCCUGGGGAGUACGGCCGCAAGGCUAAAACUCAAAGGAAUUGACGGGGGCCCGCACAAGCGGCGGAGCAUGUGGAUUAAUUCGAUGCAACGCGAAGAACCUUACCUGGGCUUGACAUGCACUGGAUGCGGCCAGAGAUGGUUGUUCCCUUUGUGGCUGGUGUGCAGGUGGUGCAUGGUUGUCGUCAGCUCGUGUCGUGAGAUGUUGGGUUAAGUCCCGCAACGAGCGCAACCCUUGUCUCGUGUUGCCAGCAUUUGGUUGGGGACUCGCGGGAGACUGCCGGGGUUAACUCGGAGGAAGGUGGGGAUGACGUCAAAUCAUCAUGCCCCUUAUGUCCAGGGCUUCACACAUGCUACAAUGGCUGGUACAGAGAGUUGCGAUACCGUGAGGUGGGGCUAAUCUCGUAAAGCCAGUCUCAGUUCGGAUUGGAGUCUGCAACUCGACUCCAUGAAGUCGGAGUCGCUAGUAAUCGCAGAUCAGCAAUGCUGCGGUGAAUACGUUCCCGGGCCU
rnacentral:rRNA from 1 species